rnacentral:misc_RNA from 1 species
CAGACUGGUUGCAAAACAACGGAAUUUACGGAGUGCACACACACUGCAUUAUAAACCGCGGGAGUCGGUACUACACCAAAAAUUCCACGAAAUUUGUUUUAUUUUUUGUUACGAAACAACUUUAAAAUUGACUAUUUUAGUUUUGUGUUGUACGUUUUUUUAUUAAUCGCUGUUUUAUGUUAAUAAUUUUAGUUUUUUUCUGCAAAUUGUUGAACAGUGUUGAUUUUUAUUGUACAAAUGAUGUUUGUUGUGUUUUAUCAAGUGUAUUAAACUAAGGAUUCUUAACUUUUAACUUAUUGGGCCGAUAUGCAGCUUUGACAAACUUUCAACCAGAAUAAGUCAUACACUUCAAAAUAACCGUUCUACGAAAUUAUAGAUACCUAAUAGCUUCACAAGAUAUAAAAUCAAGGCGUGAGUAAAAAUAUGUCGAAAAUGCUACCCAACUAAUCUAAGAUCAAUUACUUGCUGAUAAGAGGAUUCCAUAUUUACGACUAAGCUAUGGCAGAAGGUAAUGGUGAGGUACCGGAAGAAUCAAUGAAGAUCGACGUCGAACGUACUGAAGACUACCAGAAGCUGCUGGAAUAUGGCCUUGACGAGAAAGUUGCCGCAAAAUUGGAUGAGAUCUAUAAGACUGGCAAGCUAGUACACGUUGACCUAGACGAAAGAGCGCUUGACGCCUUAAAAGAAUUUCCCGUAGAUGGGGCGCUCAACGUUCUAGGUCAGUUCCUGGAUUCCAACUUGGAGCACGUGUCAAACAAAUCGGCGUACCUAUGCGGAGUCAUGAAGACCUACAGACAGAAGAGCAGAGCGGGGACCAGCGGCUCGGCGGGUGCGGCCACUCCCGCGCCAGUGCCCGUCAAGGGACCCGACCACGAUAAGAUCAAAAAAAUAUUAGACCGAACCGGAUAUGCUUUAGAUGUUACUACCGGUCAACGAAAAUUCGGUGGUCCCCCACCAGAUUGGGAAGGUGCGCCGCCAGGUUCGGGAUGCGAAGUAUUUUGCGGCAAAAUUCCCAAAGACAUGUAUGAAGAUGAGCUGAUUCCAUUAUUCGAGGAAUGCGGCCACAUAUGGGACCUUAGACUAAUGAUGGACCCGAUGACGGGUACCAAUAGAGGAUAUGCCUUUGUAACAUUUACAAAUCGGGAAGCAGCCCAAAUAGCCGUCCAAAAGUUGGAUAAUCAUGAAAUCAAACCUGGAAAGAAUCUGAAAAUUAACAUUAGCGUGCCAAAUCUACGUCUUUUCGUCGGAAACAUUCCAAAGUCAAAAGGCAAAGAGGAGAUCUUGGACGAAUUUGGUAAAUUGACAGCCGGCCUGAUGGAAGUGAUCAUUUAUUCGUCGCCCGACGAUAAGAAGAAAAAUCGUGGAUUUUGCUUUUUGGAAUAUGAAUCACAUAAGGCAGCAUCUUUAGCAAAACGAAGGUUGGGCACAGGGCGUAUUAAAGUUUGGGGCUGCGAUAUUAUCGUAGAUUGGGCUGAUCCUCAAGAAGAACCAGAUGCCCAAACUAUGUCUAAGGUUAAGGUCCUCUACGUAAGAAAUUUAACACAGGAAAUAAGUGAAGAAAAAUUAAAAGAAGAAUUUGAACAGUUCGGCAAGGUGGAGAGGGUGAAGAAAAUCAAAGAUUACGCUUUUAUACAUUUUGAAGAUAGGGAUAAUGCCGUUAAGGCAAUGGAAGCCUUAGAUUCUAAAGAAUUAGGGGGUUCAAAUAUUGAAGUGUCAUUAGCCAAACCUCCUUCUGAUAAAAAGAAAAAAGAAGAAAUACUUAGAGCCAGAGAAAGAAGAAUGAUGCAGAUGAUGCAAGUUAGAGGAGGCAUGAUGCCUGGAACUAUGCCCAUGAGGGGUCCCCCUGGAACUUCAGGCCCAAGAGGGACAGGAAGUAUGAGAUCAGCGCCGAUGGGAAGGGGUGAUUACGUUAUGUUAGCAGUUGCCUAAAUUGCCCAGUUCCCAUCCCUCUUUCCUCUGAAGUUUGAGAAAUGUAGUUUUGUUCAUAAUGCACAGGUAAGCGAAAGUUUGACGGGGGUCACCAGAACCAGGGGGAGACAAAGCGCCGAUACCAGAGCAACUGGGGGAGCCAGCCCCUUUCACAACAGCCGCUGGGGGCGGACGUGAACGGCGAACAGCAGGCAUGGUACCAGGAUUCCUACGGCUCCUGGAGCUAAGUGAUAGGACUUGAACGCCCGCAGUGGGACUGAGUGUGAGUGGCCCUACGUCAAAAAAGGAGGGCGAUAAACAAGGCCAGAGCACACCCUCUAGUGCCUGCUAUAGAAGGGUGUUGAAUAUAACUCCAAAUGAAUUCUUGGGCAACGAGUUUUGUUUAAAGAAGAUGGUGAUCGACAAAUUUAAAAUGUUGUAGCGUUUGAACGCAGUUUUAGAUUUGAAAAUCUAAUUAAAAAUUUGUUCGCAUGAGGUAGAUUGGUCUCUAAAAAUAUUUUAAAAAUACCUCUGUUAUUAAAUUAUUAGUAAUAUCACUUGAAAUUUUAAUAGAACGUUCGAUUUUGUUGAAAUUAAAAAAGUUUGUUGUACUACUAAUGUGAUUGAUAUAUUUUAAAGACCAAACGAAAUGAUAAAAUUCUAGUUAGGUACUAUAUUUAUUGGAAAAUAUAUUUAAAAUUAUUUAUUGAUGAAAAGAUGCCACAAAAAUUCAGGAGGAGUCAUAUUGCGGCAGAUUUGAUAAGCACUUGUAGUGCGCGCCAGCCUGAUAGCUGAUGGUGUCCCCAAUUCUACGUUAAUUAUUACCUAUUCUGCAUUCGUUUUUUAUUAAUUUUAAAAUUUUUGAAUUGUUAUUGGUACUUUCAAAAUUCUUUUGCUGUACGUUUGUUGUUUUGGAAUUAAAAUUUAUUCAAUUAAAUUGGUUAAGUUAC